CAAUAGCGUAUAUUAAAGUUGUUGCAGUUAAAAAGCUCGUAGUUGGAUUUGUGGCGUACGGUGUGUUCCGGGCACUUGUUGUCUGAGUAACCUGCUGUUGCCAUCCUUGGGUGGAACCUGUGUGGCAUUAGGUUGUCGUGCAGGGGAUGCCCAUCAUUUACUGUGAAAAAAUUAGAGUGUUCAAAGCAGGCUUAUGCCGUUGAAUAUAUUAGCAUGGAAUAAUGAGAUAGGACUUUUUUGCUAUUUUGUUGGUUUGCGCAAAGAGGUAAUGAUUAAUAGGGACAGUUGGGGGUAUUAGUAUUCCAUUGUCAGAGGUGAAAUUCUUGGAUUUUUGGAAGACGAACUACUGCGAAAGCAUUUACCAAGGAUGUUUUCAUUAA
rnacentral:rRNA from 1 species